rnacentral:rRNA from 1 species
UACGUAGGUGGCAAGCGUUGUCCGGAUUUACUGGGCGUAAAGAGCGCGCAGGCGGUCGUUCAAGUCGAAUGUGAAAUCCCCCGGCUCAACUGGGGAGGGUCAUUCGAUACUGAUCGACUCGAAGGCAGGAGAGGGAAGCGGAAUUCCCGGUGUAGUGGUGAAAUGCGUAGAUAUCGGGAGGAACACCAGUGGCGAAGGCGGCUUCCUGGCCUGUUCUUGACGCUGAGGCGCGAAAGCUAGGGGAGCAAACGGG